rnacentral:tRNA from 3 species
GCUGAUUUGGCAGAAAAGUGCUUUAAAUUUAGAAUUUAAAAAUGUAAUAUAUACAGUUAGUA